rnacentral:tRNA from 1 species
GGGCCGAUAGUUCAGUCCGGCAGAACGCUUCGUUCGCAACGAAGAGGCCGCGAGUUCAAAUCUCGCUCGGUCCA